UCAAAUCAAUUAUAUUUUAGGCUGAAGUAUUGUUAAGUACUUACUCUUUACAAAGAACAACCGAGCUGUUGAAUAAAUUUUCAGAUGAUGAUAUAGAUUUUUUCGAAACAAGUACUCUAUUUAAAAAAGGAGAGGUAAUAGAAGACGGAAAUACAAAAAUUGAAGGGCUCGAAAAGAUAAACAAGCAAGAAAGUGAAACAUUGCAAAUAGAACAGCUACUUACGGUUAAAGAUAAAAGAAUAAGCAAG